AUCGCUUCUCCGGCCUUUUGGCUAAGAUGGGCAAGGUGUAGUAUCUGUUCUUAUCAGUUUAAUUAUCUGAUUACGUCCCCCAUCGGGGGACUAUACAUAUUAACUGGAAUUUUUCGAACAGGGAGUCGGAAGCGGGCUGCUCGUCCGCUCCACGCCAUCGAUCCGGGAUUGCAGUACCUCCGAGAACGGUGCACCCUCG
rnacentral:snRNA from 1 species